rnacentral:rRNA from 1 species
UACGUAGGGUGCAAGCGUUGUCCGGAAUUAUUGGGCGUAAAGAGCUCGUAGGCGGUUUGUCGCGUCGAAUGUGAAAACCCGGGGCUCAACCCCGGGCCUGCAUUCGAUACGGGCAGACUAGAGUUCGGUAGGGGAGUCUGGAAUUCCUGGUGUAGCGGUGAAAUGCGCAGAUAUCAGGAGGAACACCCGUAGCGAAGGCGGCACUCUGGGCAUUACCUGACGCUGAGGAGCGAAAGUGUGGGGAGCGAACAGG